GUCUUAAAAGCUUUGCAUCAAGCAUCGAUCUUGUAAAUCGAAGAAGAUAUAUUUAUCUUAAGACU
rnacentral:tRNA from 1 species